rnacentral:misc_RNA from 1 species
GAUGAAGAACGUAGCAAAAUGCGAUAAGUAAUGUGAAUUGCAGAAUUCAGUGAAUCAUCGAAUCUUUGAACGCACAUUGCGCCCGCUGGUAUUCCGGCGGGCAUGCCUGUUCGAGCGUCAUUUCAACCCUCAAGCCCCAGGGUUUGGUGUUGGGGAUCGGCUCUGCCCUUCUGGGCGGUGCCGCCCCCGAAAUACAUUGGCGGUCUCGCUGCAGCCUCCAUUGCGUAGUAGCUAACACCUCGCAACUGGAACGCGGCGCGGCCAUGCCGUAAAACCCCAACUUCUGAAUGUUGACCUCGGAUCAGGUAGGAAUACCCGCUGAACUUAAGCAUAUCAAUAAGCGGAGGA